rnacentral:ncRNA from 1 species
GACAGGUUAGUUUUACCCUACUGAUGACAGGGUCGCGAUAGUAAUUCAACCUAGUCCGAGAGGAACCGUUGAUUCACACAAUUGGUCAUACCGCUUGGUUGAAAAGCCAGUGGCGCGAAGCUACCGUGUGCCGGAUUAUGACUGAACGCCUCUAAGUCAGAAUCCAAGCUAGCAUGCGACGCCUGCGCCCGC